GUGCUCACUUCAGCAGCACAUAUACUAAAAUUGGAAUGAUACAGAGAAGAUUAACAUAAACCUUUAUGUAUGUGUGUUUUGUUUCUUGGAGGAAAUGAAUUUUU